rnacentral:rRNA from 1 species
UACGGGGGGGGCAAGCGUUGUUCGGAAUUACUGGGCGUAAAGGGCUCGUAGGCGGCCAACUAAGUCAGACGUGAAAUCCCUCGGCUUAACCGGGGAACUGCGUCUGAUACUGGAUGGCUUGAGUUCGGGAGAGGGAUGCGGAAUUCCAGGUGUAGCGGUGAAAUGCGUAGAUAUCGCUUGGAACGCCAAAGGUGAAAACAGGUUGCUGGGGUUGUGCCGACGCUGAGACACGAAAGCCAGGGGAGCAAACGGG